rnacentral:rRNA from 1 species
UACGAAGGGGGCUAGCGUUGCUCGGAAUUACUGGGCGUAAAGCGCACGUAGGCGGCUUUCUAAGUCGGGGGUGAAAGCCUGUGGCUCAACCACAGAAUUGCCUUCGAUACUGGUUGGCUUGAGACCGGAAGAGGACAGCGGAACUGCGAGUGUAGAGGUGAAAUUCGUAGAUAUUCGCAAGAACACCAGUGGCGAAGGCGGCUGUCUGGUCCGGUUCUGACGCUGAGGCGCGAAAGCGUGGGGAGCAAACAGG